CACCCCUCAAGCGUAGCUUGGUAUUGGGCUCUCGCCCCCGCGGCAUGCCCGAAAAGCAGAGGCGGUCCGGUGCGACUUUAAGCGUAGUAUUUCUCCCGUUUUGAAAGUU
rnacentral:misc_RNA from 1 species